CCUACGGGAGGCAGCAGUAAGGAAUAUUGGUCAAUGGACGAAAGUCUGAACCAGCCAUGCCGCGUGAAGGAUGAAGGCCCUCUGGGUUGUAAACUUCUUUUACAGGGGACGAAAAAAGGGAAUUCUUUCUCACUUGACGGUACCCUGGGAAUAAGCACCGGCUAACUCCGUGCCAGCAGCCGCGGUAAUACGGAGGGUGCAAGCGUUAUCCGGAUUCACUGGGUUUAAAGGGUGCGUAGGUGGGUCUGUAAGUCAGCGGUGAAAUCUCCGGGCUUAACCCGGAAACUGCCAUUGAUACUAUAGAUCUUGAAUUGUCUGGAGGUAAGCGGAAUAUGUCAUGUAGCGGUGAAAUGCUUAGAUAUGACAUAGAACACCAAUUGCGAAGGCAGCUUACUACGGAUUGAUUGACACUGAGGCACGAAAGCGUGGGGAUCAAACAGGAUUAGAUACCCUGGUAGUCCACGCCCUAAACGAUGGAUACUCGACAUUUGUGAUAUACUAUAAGUGUCUGAGCGAAAGCAUUAAGUAUCCACCUGGAAGUACGACCGCAAGUUGAACUCAAGGAAUUGACG
rnacentral:rRNA from 1 species